rnacentral:rRNA from 1 species
AUUGAACGCUGGCGGAAUGCUUUACACAUGCAAGUCGAACGGCAGCACGGGGCAACCUGGUGGCGAGUGGCGAACGGGUGAGUAAUACAUCGGAACGUGCCCAAUCGUGGGGGAUAACGUAGCGAAAGUUACGCUAAUACCGCAUACGAUCUACGGAUGAAAGCGGGGGAUCGCAAGACCUCGCGCGAAUGGAGCGGCCGAUGUCAGAUUAGGUAGUUGGUGGGGUAAAGGCUCACCAAGCCAACGAUCUGUAGCUGGUCUGAGAGGACGACCAGCCACACUGGAACUGAGACACGGUCCAGACUCCUACGGGAGGCAGCAGUGGGGAAUUUUGGACAAUGGGCGCAAGCCUGAUCCAGCCAUUCCGUGUGCAGGAUGAAGGCCUUCGGUUGUAACUAGCUUUGUUACGGAACGAAACGGUACUGCCUAAUACGGCGGGCGUAAUGACGGUACCGUAAGAAUAAGACACCGGCUAACUACGUGCCAGCAGCCGCGGUAACACGAG